GCGCAAGGCCUAAUAGCUAAAAAAGCGCCGAUCUCAAAAUAGAUGCUAACAAUAAAAGUUUAGCUACAGAGCAAGAGGCCUCGCUCUCAGCUCGGAUAGAUCUAUGUUCACCGAGGCUGAAGACCGAGCUCCCAGCACGGAUAGACUUACAUCCUCAAAAGCUGAAGGUAUAAAGGCUAAUGAAAAAGGCCGAGCUCUCUCCAAAAGGACUCAUAAAUGAAGAAAUCCUUAGGAGGAUAGAAAGGCUAUAAUUAAAGCCUCAAUCAGUUUAUAUAAAACAAAUAUACAAAGUCACAACCAAGAGGGAAGGACUAAAAGCAGAAAACAGACAUGAUAGUUGCCAUUAAAAAGGUACGAGAUUUGAUCUCUCAGACUAUCAGCUAAGAGCUGAGUUCGCAACUUAAGAUUAAUUCAGAACUUAUGAAUAAAAAUAUGUAG
rnacentral:lncRNA from 1 species